UAACUCGGUAUGAUUGUGUGAAUUGCAAAAUGUGCAAGAAAAUUAAGUUUGGGGUGGAAAUCUUGAAAGAGAAGCAAGUGCAUAAUAAGAGAUCAUACAAAAAGAAAAAUAGUAUGUAUUUUCUUUAAAAGAAAAAAAAGAGAAAAAAAGAGAAAAGAAAAACAAAAGAGAAAAAUGCACUUGCCGAGACUUUAGACUCUAAAACAUAUGAAAUGCUCGGAAAAUUCGAGUAGGAAAAGAGUCAAAAGAGUGAAAUUAACCCCCAGAGUAUACGUGAUGCACGAGAAAAAAGAGAAAGAAAAAUCACACAACAUGACUACCGAGUUCAAAACCCUUUGUUAUCCAAUUUUUUUGUUUAUCCCACCGUACCCAAGCCCCGUUACAACCUAAAAAGACCUCAAAAAGUGUGUGGAAUC
rnacentral:lncRNA from 1 species